rnacentral:misc_RNA from 1 species
CAAGCCAUGAAAACAAUGAAUUUCUACUAUAGAUUUCUGAGGGGAAACUGUAAAAGUCAUGUUGUCCUGCCUACUAAAAUAUAAUAAUAUCUUAGAAGGAUAUAAUAACCAUAAGUUCAAUAAGUAGCUCCUUCCUUUUACAUGACCAUUAAACAGGAAGAGGAUUGGUCUCUUGCAGAAAAGAAUAAUUUGCUAGUUUCUCUACAUCACCUCCAACAGAAAUUUUCUUCAACCUUCUCUGAUUUUCUCCAUGUAAACCAAUACCACUCCGUGUGCCUUCUGC